UACAGAGGUCCCAAGCGUUGUUCGGAUUCAUUGGGCGUAAAGGGUGCGUAGGUGGCGCCGUAAGUCAGGUGUGAAAUUUCGGAGCUUAACUCCGAAACUGCAUUUGAUACUGCGGUGCUUGAGGACUGGAGAGGAGACUGGAAUUCACGGUGUAGCAGUGAAAUGCGUAGAUAUCGGGAGGAACACCAGUGGCGAAGGCGACUUCUUGGCCUGUUCUUGACGCUGAGGCGCGAAAGCUGGGGGAGCAAACGGG
rnacentral:rRNA from 1 species